CUAAUAAGUUCACUGAUCUCUGCUUAAUCUGGUCUUGCUUUUAUUAGUCAGAGGUCAACAAGCCCUUCCUGUUUGUUGGGUGGAUGUCUGGCUAGGACACCACCUCUCAAGACUUUUUUGGUACUACGCAAUACAACAGGAAGAAAGAAGAAACAAAAUAAAAACAAUCAAAAUACGUAGUGUUGGUGCAGAAUUCCGUCG
rnacentral:lncRNA from 1 species